rnacentral:rRNA from 1 species
AUUGAACGCUGGCGGCAGGCCUAACACAUGCAAGUCGAACGGUAACAGGAAACAUCUUGCUGUUUCGCUGACGAGUGGCGGACGGGUGAGUCAUGUCUGGGAAACUGCCUGAUGUAGGGGGAUAACUACUGGAAACGGUAGCUAAUACCGCAUAACGUCUCAAGACCAAAGAGGGGGACCUUCGGGCCUCUUGCCAUCGGAUGUGCCCAGAUGGGAUUAGCUAGUAGGUGGGGUAAGGGCUCCCCUAGUCGACGAUCCCUAGCUGGUCUGAGAGGAUGAGAGGCCACACUGGAACUGAGACACGGACCAGACUACUACGGGAGGCAGCAGUGGGGAAUAUUGCACAAUGGGCGCAAGCCUGAUGCAGCGAUGCCGAGUGUAUGAAGAAGACCUUCGGGUUGUAAAGUACUUUCAGCGGGGAGGAAGGGAGUAAAGUUAAUACCUUGACUCAUUGACGUUACCCGCAGAAGAAGCACCGGCUAACUACGUG